AUGGGGGUGAGCGAUGGUCUGGCUCCGUCGAAGAUGCAUGCGUUGCGGUGCUUCCAGAGCCACUGUGCACAUGGAGGCCGGCGCGUGGUCGUGGGAAGAGCUCUACCAAGUCUGGAAGGGAAUAAGUAUCACAUGCGUCCAUCCCUAAUCUCAGCUUCCCUUACAGGUUCUGAAAUUGACCUUGCUUCAGCCAACAUGCGUGUGGUCGUUCUGUCUCUUAGCAGGGGUCGAGGCCAUGGCUCACGUCUGGGGAUCAGCACAUCUGAAUCUCCGCUUGUGGUACAUGUCCCCAUCUCUGUUCAGGGUGGCGCUACAAGAUCAAAUCAAAACCAGAUCACAUGGCAGCUCAGUCUGGUUCCGAAAAUUCAUUCAUAG
rnacentral:rRNA from 1 species